rnacentral:rRNA from 1 species
GAUGAACGCUGGCGGCGUGCCUAAUACAUGCAAGUCGAGCGAACAGAUAAGGAGCUUGCUCCUUUGACGUUAGCGGCGGACGGGUGAGUAACACGUGGGUAACCUACCUAUAAGACUGGAAUAACUCCGGGAAACCGGGGCUAAUGCCGGAUAACAUUUAGAACCGCAUGGUUCUAAAGUGAAAGAUGGUUUUGCUAUCACUUAUAGAUGGACCCGCGCCGUAUUAGCUAGUUGGUAAGGUAGCGGCUUACCAAGGCAACGAUACGUAGCCGACCUGAGAGGGUGAUCGGCCACACUGGAACUGAGACACGGUCCAGACUCCUACGGGAGGCAGCAGUAGGGAAUCUUCCGCAAUGGGCGAAAGCCUGACGGAGCACCGCCGCGUGAGUGAUGAAGGUCUUCGGAUCGUAAAACUCUGUUAUUAGGGAAGAACAAAUGUGUAAGUAACUGUGCACGUCUUGACGGUACCUAAUCAGAAAGCCACGGCUAACUACGUG